UGGGAAGUGAGGAGCCUCUCUGCCUGGCCGU
rnacentral:piRNA from 1 species